rnacentral:rRNA from 1 species
AAACGGUUCUCUCUAAUACAGGGGGCUAAUGACGAAGACCGUAAGAAUAAGCACCGGCUAACUACGUGCCAGCAGCCGCGGUAAUACGUAGGGUGCAAGCGUUAAUUUCGAAUUACUGGGCGUAAAGCGUGCGCAGGCGGUUUUGUAAGACAGAGGUGAAAUCCCCGGGCUCAACCUGGGAACUGCCUUUGUGACUGCAAGGCUGGAGUACGGGAGAGGGGGAUGGAAUU